rnacentral:rRNA from 1 species
GAGACCGGCGCACGGGUGCGUAACGCGUAUGCAAUCUACCUUUUACAGAGGGAUAGCCCAGAGAAAUUUGGAUUAAUACCUCAUAGUAUUACGAAAUGGCAUCAUUUUGUAAUUAAAGUCACAACGGUAAAAGAUGAGCAUGCGUCCCAUUAGCUAGUUGGUAAGGUAACGGCUUACCAAGGCUACGAUGGGUAGGGGUCCUGAGAGGGAGAUCCCCCACACUGGUACUGAGACACGGACCAGACUCCUACGGGAGGCAGCAGUGAGGAAUAUUGGACAAUGGGCGCAAGCCUGAUCCAGCCAUGCCGCGUGCAGGAUGACGGUCCUAUGGAUUGUAAACUGCUUUUAUACGAGAAGAAACACUCCGACGUGUCGGAGCUUGACGGUAUCGUAAGAAUAAGGAUCGGCUAACUCCGUGCCAGCAGCCGCGGUAAUACGGAGGAUCCAAGCGUUAUCCGGAAUCAUUGGGUUUAAAGGGUCCGUAGGCGGUUUAAUAAGUCAGUGGUGAAAGCCCAUCGCUCAACGGUGGAACGGCCAUUGAUACUGUUAAACUUGAAUUAUUAGGAAGUAACUAGAAUAUGUAGUGUAGCGGUGAAAUGCUUAGAGAUUACAUGGAAUACCAAUUGCGAAGGCAGGUUACUACUAAUGGAUUGACGCUGAUGGACGAAAGCGUGGGUAGCGAACAGGAUUAGAUACCCUGGUAGUCCACGCCGUAAACGAUGGAUACUAGCUGUUGGAAGCAAUUUCAGUGGCUAAGCGAAAGUGAUAAGUAUCCCACCUGGGGAGUACGUUCGCAAGAAUGAAACUCAAAGGAAUUGACGGGGGCCCGCACAAGCGGUGGAGCAUGUGGUUUAAU